GGCUGGUUAGCUCAAUUGGUUAGAGCAUAGUGCUAAUAACUCCAAGGUCAUGGGUUCAAUCCCCGUAUGAUCCA
rnacentral:tRNA from 2 species